ensembl:lncRNA
UUUAAUUGUAUUAAUUGUAACAUAUUUCUCAAGUUAUCACACAUUACUGAAAAAGUGUAGAAGGGACACUAUAUUAGUUAUCUAUUUUCAUGUUGUGCAUAUAAUAGUACUCACAUAAGGACUCAUAAUUUACUUGAAAAGAGACACGUUCAUUGUGUAACUGCAUCAUCUACACAAACCAAUGUGCUUGGACCCCUAAUAAUCACCUUGACUUAAACCACAUUGUUUCAGUUGCCUUCUGUGUCUUUGCCCACAACGCUUCAGUGACAGGAAUGUGAAAUAGCAAACAGGGGAAAAAAUAAAAGGCAUGACUUUAUUUGCAUCCAGCUAGCCAACUCUAUUACAGAUGUUCCACAUCCAAGACUUUUAUUAGAAUAGAAAAUAGCAAGGGUUCAAAUAAAUAGUUUAUUGAUCAUUUAAUUUCACUUUCUUAAUGAAUAUUGUUCUGUGUAUGUGAUUUCAAAGUCUUGAUGCUUCGGAUUAACCCGUUAAUUGCCGUAUCCCUUAAAACCUGAGUGCCAGAGGGUUACUGUAAAUGCAUGUGCCCACUGGGCACAGUUUACCUGAUGCCACCGGGGAGGCGUUUGCACUGAUGGCUUGAGCCCGCCAUCGGCUCGGGCCCACCAUCGCUGCUUGCAGCUAUAUUUAGGGCCCGAGCACCGAUGGUGUGAGGACCCUCUUGUAUCUGCUUCUUUUAUUAGGGCCCGAGCACUGCAGUGCGAGGAUCCUAUUGGAAUUGCUCCGUUUAUUAGGGCCCUAGCACUGCAGUGUGAGGACCCUAAUGGAAUUGCUCCGUUUAUUAUUCUUCUUCUCCGCAAUGAGUCGCAUUUUUGAGGGCCUAAACAUGCUCCAGAACUCACGAAACUUUGCACACGCAUCAGAACUGGCGAAAAUUUACAUCUGAUAUAGGUUUCAGAAGUGGGUGUGGCAAAAUGGCUCGAUAGCGCCACCUAUUAAAUUUCAACGGAGUGCGCCUCGAGCUAUGUUUCACGUACAUGCAUGAAAAUUGGUACACACGUGUAGCACAACAUUAUCUACAAAAAAGUCUCUUGGUACAAAAUCCAAAACCCAACAGGAAGUAAGUUAUUUUGAAUUUCCUGUAGGAUUUUUGUGCAGUUUUUGCCAUUUCCAUGCCUCGUACUUUGACG